AUUCACAAUCAAUUCGCCAAAAUAACCCUCAAAUUCUCUCAAAACUCUCUCAAUUUUUUCGGAAAACUUCCCCCCAUUCUGCCUUUUUUCUUCCGUCAAUUAAUUUUCACCAAUCUCUAUUCAAUGGAGGGUUAAUCUUCAAGUGGUUCCUAAAGUCACCUAUUAUGGAGUUUGUGGCUUGCUAGGCCAUCACAAUGACCAAUGCCCAAAGCUUAAAGAGACCUUAGAGAAUGUAGACUCAAAUGUUAAAGAAGAAAA